rnacentral:pre_miRNA from 1 species
AGGGAGAGGCCUGAUCCUGGGCUGUGUCCCCGGCGCCCAGUUCUCCCGGGCCUGCUCUGUUGGAUUCACGCUCCCGGUAUCGCAGCCACCU